GAAACUGUAUUUAUGAAAAAGAAUACAAAAUUCCAAUUACAAAAUUGAACAUGCAUUAAAUAUCUCCAUGGAGAAACUGCAGCAGCAACAGUACAAGUGAGGGUAUGCUAUAUUCAAUUAGCCAUGAACAUUUGAGAGCAACUUUAUCCAGAUCAACGAAAGAGAAGUGAUAGGUGUGCACAACUAUGUCAAAUGGUGACUGUGGGCAUUGCAUGCACCUGCCACCUCAAACUACCUGAGGUCAUGCUGCUGGCCCCACCAGCUGCAAGCUAGAAAAAGCGUGUGCCAAAGUGGCUGUGCCAGCCAGGGAAGAGGGGCCACAAGAACUUAGAGCUAACCAGACUGACUGUCUGACAUUUUGUAGAGAUAUCUUCAGGACCAUGAGAAACAGCUCCACCUGAAGCUUACCUGAAACCGUGUCUCCUUUCAGAUGCAAUAAAUCUUUUCAUUUGUUGGAAAAAUGUUUGUUUCCUCCUGAUAGCAGCAGUGGAAGGUUACACCAGUA
rnacentral:lncRNA from 10 species